GAGGGUAUAGCUCAAAUAGUAGAGCUCAUGCUUAGCAUGCACGAGGUCCUGGGUUCAAUCCCCAGUACCUCA
rnacentral:tRNA from 1 species